rnacentral:rRNA from 1 species
AUUGAACGCUGGCGGAAUGCUUUACACAUGCAAGUCGAACGGCAGCACGGGAGCUUGCUCCUGGUGGCGAGUGGCGAACGGGUGAGUAAUACAUCGGAACGUACCCUGACGUGGGGGAUAACACAUCGAAAGAUGUGCUAAUACCGCAUACGACCUGAGGGUGAAAGGGGGGGACCGCAAGACCUCUAGCGUUUGGAGCGGCCGAUGUCGGAUUAGCUAGUUUGUCAGGUAAAGGCUCACCAAGGCGACGGUCCGUAGCUGGUCUGAGAGGAUGAUCAGCCACACUGGGACUGAGGCACGGGCCAGACUCCUCCGGGAGGCAGCAGUGGAGCAUUUUGUACAAUGAGGGCAACCCUGCUCCAGCCAUUCCGCGUGAGUGAAGAAGGCCUUCGGGUUGUAAAGCUCUGUCGGCAGGAACGAAAAGGCGGGUCCUAAUACGAUCUGCUCAUGACGGUACCUGAAGAAGAAGCACCGGCUAACUACGUGCCAGCCGCCGCCGUAAAAC